UUUAAUGAUGAAAAGAGGGUCGCAUGAUAGAUGAUGACCGCUGGAAAUACUGAAA
rnacentral:snoRNA from 18 species